UUUACGCGAUAUAUAUACAACAUAUUAUCACACAAUAUACAAUAUUAAUUUUGCGAUUAUAUUUGCAAUUAGAAUUAUAAUAUUAUUUUUGUGUUUGUAUUUGCAAUAUAUGAUAUGCAAUGUAUAAUAUUAAUUUUGCAAUUCUAAUUGCUUUAUGCAAUACGCAAUACAUAAUAUUAUGCAAAAUAUUAAUUUUGCCAUUAUAUUCGCAAAACGUUAUGCAAUAUAUAACAUUAAUUUUGCGAUUGUAUUUGCAAAAUAUAAUAUGCAAUGUAUAAUAUUACUUUUACGAUUAUGUUUGCAAUUAUAAUACAUAAUAUUAGUUUCGUGAUUAUAUAUUUGCAAUAUAUAAUAGUCAUUUUAUUGAUUUAUUGCAUAAUUGUUUUAGUUAACUUAAAUUGUUAAAUUAAAAAGGCAUGAAUUUGUGAAGGACUUCUUUUUCAAUCUAAUACAAUUUCGUAAGCUGUUUAUAAAUUACUUUUAUUAUAAAUAAAAUAUUUGUUUUGAAUAAUCUUUAAAAAUUUCUACGUUCAGUUGAAUUAUGUUAUUCUUAUUUGACUACAAAAAAGCUUUUACUUUUGAUAUCUGUUUUCUGUUUAUACAUGAUAUAUUUAUUCGGUUUUUUAAUAUUUAUUACAUAAAAUAGUUAAAUAUUUAUAUAUUAUUUUUUUACAGAUACAUCUCUUAAAUAAAAACUUCUAUUAUUAUUUUUUAUCUCAACUAAUUAUAUUUUUAGCAUUAUUCAAUGCCUUUUCGAAAUAAACAUAAACUUUGCGGGAUACUUUAUAAGUCUAUUUAACUGAUUGCAAAUGUUGUUUUAAACAUACGAGUCUAACGACAGAAGAGUAACAGUUGCCACUCACUGGCCAGGCAUAGUCAGUUCACCAGUAUGACAUAAAAAUGCAGCUGGUACACCAGUCUUGUAAUCAGUUUCGUGAGAAGCGGAACCAUGUGUGCGAGCAGUGACAUGCGAAGUGUUAUAUGUGCAUACGUGUCCCGAAUUGACUGCACAGAUUCGUUCCCCCUUUUCUCCUUUUUUUUCUUUUCUGUCGAAUUGAGAUAAGAAUGUCAUUGACGCUGCAUUCCGAUCUGAAGAAGUCCAAUAAACUGUAUCACUUUACUAGGGAAGCAUCAACCCAACGGGUGUGGUCGUGCUUCCGUCUGGCACCGGGAAUCGAAUAGAGCGUGGAGCCAAAUCUUUAGAAGCGAGGAAUCCGUAAUCUAGAGUGAGAUGAACUCAUAAUCUAGAGCAGUUAUAGCAAUUGCGGUAUAAAAUCCAAACGACGGUAAUAUUAUUACCAUAUGACAUAGAUAUCUUUAUAAAGUUUUUAUCAAAAUUUCAAAAAUAUUUUUGGCAAAGAAUAAUAAAUUGAUUGUUUACGUAGAAAAUAAAUCUGUAAUUUUUUUCUUAAAUAAGGAAACAACAACAUGUCUUGCAAUUGCGGAAAUAAACUUUAGUUUGUCAUAUACAUUUGCAGUUUGCGAAAUAAAACUGGGCUUUCAGAUAAUUAACUCUUUAGUGACAUAGUCUAAAUUGAUACAUAAAUUGACAGAGAAGUAUAAUAUACUGGGAGGCUAAAUUUGAAAGUGGAUUGAGUUGUCAUACUUAGACAAGUAGCACACUUGGUUAAAGUAAUGAGGAGACGAGAAUGCUCGAUAUAUUCACAUACACAGUAAAAAAUUUUGUGUUUUCUUGUUAAAAAAAUAUCCUGGUUAAAACUUUUAUGUUAAAAUUUAACAUAUUUGCUUGUUACUUUAACAUAUUGCUGUUGUGUUAAUUUAAGUAAAGUGUUAAAUUACUAAAAUAACUAAAAAAGAGUGUAAAAGUAACACAAUGUGCACGUACUUUUAAUUUUACACCAUAAAUACGUUCUUUAUUAUUAGUGACAGGAUUUAGCUGUUAAAAUUGACAGAAAAAAAUGUUGAAUUUACUCUAUAAUUGAGUUUUAACAAAGACCAUUUCAUUUUUUAGGACUUUACUAUCUAAUCUGAGAUGGCACAUUUCUCGUGAAAAAGAUUCACCUAUUAGGUGAAUAAAAGGGGGUCGCCAAGAACAGAGAACCAAGUAUGUGCCGGAUAGUGAAAUUACCGUAUACCGGAUACCGGAUAUCUGGUAAUAGUGUAAAACCGAAUAACGGAUAUCUAAUCGGAUAUUUGGUGCCUUAAUUAUUCGACCGGAUAUUUGCUGGAUAUCCGAUACUAUUAAAAAAAAUACAAUAUAUAAGUGACAAAAUCUUUAGAAGUAGAUUUAUUUUCUGAUUGAUAUUUUGUAAUAUUUUUCUGACAUUAUUUUGCUAUUUUUGCAUUUAGCAAUCAUAGUUUAAUAUUAAUAAAAUUUUUAUAAUAAAUAACA
rnacentral:lncRNA from 1 species